AGAACGAACGCUGGCGGCAUGCUUAACACAUGCAAGUCGCACGGGCAGGGGUAACUCUGUCAGUGGCGGACGGGUGAGUAACGCGUAGGUAUCUAUCCUCGGGUGGGGGGACAACCACGGGAAACUGUGGCUAAUACCGCAUGAUGACUGAGGUCCAAAGGCGCAAGUCGCCUGGGGAGGAGCCUGCGUCCGAUUAGCUUGUUGGUGGGGUAAAGGCCUACCAAGGCUCCGAUCGGUAGCUGGUCUGAGAGGAUGAUCAGCCACACUGGGACUGAGACACGGCCCCAGACUCCUACGGGAGGCAGCAGUGGGGGAAUAUUGGGACAAUGGGCGAAAGCCUGAUCCAGCAAUGCCGCGUGUGUGAAGAAGGUCUUCGGAUUGUAAAGCACUUUCGACGGGGACGAUGAUGACGGUACCGUAGAAGAAGCCCGGCUAACUUCGCGCCAGCAGCCGC
rnacentral:rRNA from 1 species